rnacentral:rRNA from 1 species
UACAGAGGGUGCGAGCGUUAAUCGGAAUUACUGGGCGUAAAGCGUGCGCAGGCGGUUUUGUAAGUCUGAUGUGAAAUCCCCGGGCUCAACCUGGGAAUUGCAUUGGAGACUGCAAGGCUAGAGUGUGUCAGAGGGGGGUAGAAUUCCACGUGUAGCAGUGAAAUGCGUAGAUAUGUGGAGGAACACCGAUGGCGAAGGCAGCCCCCCUGGGAUAACACUGACGCUCAUGCACGAAAGCGUGGGGAGCAAACAGGAUUAGAAACCCCG